rnacentral:rRNA from 1 species
GACGAACGCUGGCGGCGUGCUUAACACAUGCAAGUCGAACGAGUGGCGAACGGGUGAGUAAUACGUGAGUAACCUGCCCUCUUUUUGGGAUAAGCCUUGGAAACGGGGUCUAAUACCGAAUAAAGGGGGAUGGGCUCGCGGCCUAUCAGCUUGUUGGUGGGGUGAUGGCCUACAAAGGCGGUGACGGGUAGCCGGCCUUGGAGGGUGACCGGCGAAAUUGGAAAGGGGACACGGCCCAGCGGGCGACGGGAGGGGGCAGUGGGGGAUAUUGCACAAUGGGCGGAAGCCUGAUGGAGCGGCGCGGCGUGGGGGAUGAAGGCUUGUGGGUUGUAAACCUCUGGCGCGAUCGAAGCGGUAGGUGGAGAAGAAGCGCCGGCUAACUACGUGCCAGCAGCCGCGGUAAUAC